rnacentral:rRNA from 1 species
UACGAAGGGGGCUAGUGUUGCUCGGAAUUACUGGGCGUAAAGCGCACGUAGGCGGCUUUCUAAGUCGGGGGUGAAAUCCUGGAGCUCAACUCCAGAACUGCCUUCGAUACUGGAGAGCUCGAGUCCGGGAGAGGUGAGUGGAACUGCGAGUGUAGAGGUGAAAUUCGUAGAUAUUCGCAAGAACACCAGUGGCGAAGGCGGCUCACUGGCCCGGUACUGACGCUGAGGUGCGAAAGCGUGGGGAGCAAACAGG